ACUUCUCUCAAGUUUAGUAUCUGUUCUUAUCAGUUUAAUAUCUGAUACGUCCCCCAGCAGGGGACUACAUAUUAAGCAGAUUUUUAGAACAGGGAGUUGGCAAAGGAGCUUGCUCCAUCUGCUCCAGGCAUCGACCCAGUAUUGCAGUGCCUCUAUGAGUGGUGCGCUUUCU
ensembl:snRNA U2 U2 spliceosomal RNA